UGAAUACGAGAUGCUACGGCGUCGAAGCAGUGUAUGUCAGACUUCCAAGAAAAGCUCGCAAUGUCAUAAAUAAAGAAUGCCUGUACCAUAACCGACACAGGUGGGUAGGUAGAGUAUACUAAGGGGCGCGAGAUAACUCUCUCUAAGGAACUCGGCAAAAUAACUCCGUAACUUCGGGAGAAGGAGUGCCUUCUUUAAGAAGGUUGCAAUAACAAGAUCCAAGCAACUGUUUAUCAAAAACACAGGUCUCCGCUAAGUCGUAAGACGAUGUAUGGGGGCUGACGCCUGCCCAGUGCCAGAAGGUUAAAGAAGCUGGUUAGCAAUAGCGAAGCUGGUGACUGAAGCCCUGGUGAACGGCGGCCGUAACUAUAACGGUCCUAAGGUAGCGAAAUUCCUUGUCGGGUAAGUUCCGACCCGCACGAAAGGCGUAAUGAUUUGGAUACUGUCUCGGAGAGGGACUCGGUGAAAUAGACUUGUCUGUGAAGAUGCGGACUACCUGCACCAGGACAGAAAGACCCUAUGAAGCUUUACUGUAACCUGAAAUUGAAAUUGGACUUUAUUUGCGCAGUAUAGGUGGGAGGCGUUGAAAGUAAUCUUGCGGGAUUAGUGGAGCCAUCAGUGAGAUACCACUCCUAUAAUGUUAGAUUUCUAACUUUGGAUCAUGAUCUGGUCAAAGAACAGUUUCAGGCGGGCAGUUUGACUGGGGCGGUCGCCUCCCAAAUGGUAACGGAGGCGUACAAAGGUUUCCUCUGAACGGGUAGAAAUCGUAUCUAGAGUAUAAAGGCAUAAGGAAGCUUGACUGUGAGACCUACAAGUCGAGCAGGGACGAAAGUCGGUCUUAGUGAUCUGACGGUGCUGAGUGGAAAGGCCGUCACUCAACGGAUAAAAGUUACUCUAAGGAUAACAGGCUGAUCUCCCCCAAGAGUUCACAUCGACGGGGAGGUUUGGCACCUCGAUGUCGGCUCAUCGCAUCCUGGGGCGGUAGUACGUCCCAAGGGUUGGGCUGUUCGCCCAUGAAAGCGGUACGCGAGCUGGGUUCAGAACGUCGUGAGACAGUUCGGUCCAUAUCCGGUGUAGGCGUUAGAAUAUUGAGAGGAGCCUUCUCUAGUACGAGGGGACCGAGAAGGACAUACCUCUGGUGUACCAGUAAUCGUGCCAACGGUAAACGCUGGGUAGCUAUGUAUGGAGAGGAUAACCGCUGAAAGCAUCUAAGUGGGAAGCCCACCUCAAGAUGAGUAUUCUC
rnacentral:rRNA from 1 species